AAACAUACUCUUGAGAAACGUGGUACGUUGGUUCCAGAAGUAAACACUUGUUAAUAGACAGUCAAGAUUUACAGAACACAGAAAAGUGCGCAUCAUUGUAUUCAGAAAUUUCAGACUAUUUAGCAACAUUGAUAUUUUGGAAACGAAGCCUGGCAAUUAGUUGUCAUCUGUAUUACAGAAUUAUUUGAGGAAGGAAGAUGGAUGAGCACAGAAAGCAUAUAAUUGAAAUUACAGGACUCGUGUUUUACACACAAUAAGAGGUGACCUCCCCAACAGGAAAAGGAAUGCACUUGGUAGGACUUUCUGCAUAGUCCUUGGUAUCAGCAGAUGAUGGAACCAACAGCAGUAGACAUGGCCUGUUUCAUCAGAGGUCUGUUGAAUUUUGGUGGCUGAUGCUGGUUUGAUUUUUGCGCCAUGAAGCAUACCAUCUGUUGUAAGGCUUGUACCCAAGUCACUGACAGCCAUAGCCACAUUAAGCUGCGUGGCUAUUUGUCCACUUUCAGAUCAACUCACUUCCUCAUACAGGUUUUCUGAAGUAGAGGCACUUCUUACAUCAAAUGGAAAGGAUCCGUGUCAGGCCUCACUUUCCAUCCUAACACUGAUUCCAGUCAAGUGAACCAUCAUAGUCCCGGAAUUUCUAUGCGCAUGUUACAACUUCCUGGAUGAUGCCAGGCCUGUUUGUCAACAUGUAAAACCCAUGUGUACUUGAGGAAAGGAAAAGCAAUUUGAAAUCCCACCAUGAAAUAUUGACAUGAUGGAAACAACUGGACAAACAUUUAUUCUAAUUGUUCGUUGGCUGAACGAAAAUUCAGACCGGAGCCAUAAUACUAGAUAUUGAUAUUAACGUUUAUUGAAAAUGUGUUUGAUUUUGCCUCUUUCAGAGAACCUCUAUUUUACAUGAAAUAUUGCUUAGAGAUGACGUAUCAAUAAAGUAAAAUCACAGUCAAAUUCUUUGUCAUGUUUUCAUAUGUGAUAUUGUACAUAUAUAAAUUUAUCAAUGAAUUUUAUCCAUUUUACAUAAAA